rnacentral:lncRNA from 1 species
GUCCCCACGGGAAGUCUCAGUGUUCAAGGACCUGUAACUCAGUCCAGGCAGGCCCUAAGGGGGCCCUGGGAUGCCCUGGUGACUUUCCCUUCCUGCAGUUCCUUUAGGGGCCCUACAAUCCCGAUGCUUUAGCAAAUGGCGUGCUGGGUUGUGCAUCCUUGGGUAGAAAUAUUGCUGAUGGCCGAGCUCGGCCUCUGCUCAUUUUCCACGCUCCCCACUAUACUUCAGAUAGCAUUGGUCAUAACAGAGCUGAUCUAGAGGACAGAAGCUGAUGCAGAGUUGAACCCAAGGCCUCUGGGGUAAGCGAGGGAGCCUCGAGGCGCCUCUGGAAGCAGGAGGGAAACAGCCAUGGGGCAGUUUUCCAGGCUGGUCCAGACUUUUGGAAUUCUGGUGUCUCCAGGACGUUCCCAGCGCCUGCUCCGGGACAACAGACUCGAAGGGUACCUGAGGCCCUGGCUGGUUGGGGCCUAAGUGGUGCGCUGCUUGGGAGACACAUUUGGGAAGGGAGCCAAGGGACCCCUUGCUGAAAAGGGGAAAAUAUGCAGCCUCCCCACUCGCCUGGGAGAAGCCCUGCCUCAGUUUCCCUCUGCCAAGGCACAAGUGGUGGCACAGCACGUGGCUGGGUCUGCAGGUGCGUCAGCCCACCUGGAUCACCACGCUCCUGUAAUUAUGGAGAACACCCCCCCCCCCCUUCCUGGGGCUCCAGCCAGCACAGAGCCAGCUCAUAAAGGCGCCCCAGGUCUCCGGGACUGAGGAGUCGUUGUGGAAACUACCUCUUAGCACAGAAGUAAUUUAGCGGAGAGCUUGACCACGGGGCAGCCAUUUUACCAGCAGGAUCUGCAAAUGACUUUGAGCUCCUCAGAAGGCAGGAGCUGAGUAAAUUCCAGGCAUUAUGGAUGAUUAAGAGAACAAUUCCACUCUGGAAAGACUAGCUCAGAGCUGCAGGGCAGGACGGGGAGGAGGCUGGGAUGGCGGGGCGGCAGGCCACGGGAGUCAUCUUCCUUGAAGAUCUGCAGAGGUCAACGCCCUAUGUCGGCGAGGAGAAACCCAGCUGAAGCCUGCACCCUGUAACUGCUGCUCCCCGUUUGCCUGGGCCAGGUAUUGAAGCGGAGUCUCGGGCACACAUGACCCCAGGACCGAAGAAGAUGGAGGUGGCUGUGUCUUUGGAGGAGAUCUGGCCCCAAGUCACAGCUGUGUGACGGUGUCUGGGGACGGCCAGGGUAUUUGAGCUGGGCACUCGUAGAGGAUUCUGCUUCCUGACACUUCCUUCCCGUUAAGAAACGGACUCCUGUGCUUUCAGUUUGCUUCUGGGUGAUACUAGUUGAGCACAUUUUCAUAUGUUUAUUGGCCAUCUCGGUAUCUUCUUUUGGGAAAUGCCCAAUCAGUUGGGUUGUCAAACUAUUCUGAAAAAGUGAUCUGUAAUUUUUAGUGUAUUUGGAUGGAUAUAUCGAAGUUUUUUGUGCAGUGACUGUGUUAUAAGUAUCUUCUCCUGCCCUGGGCCACCCUGAUUAUGAUUUUUGAGGAACAGAAGUUCUUGAUUUCAAUGUAGUACAAUCGAUUCAUACAUCCUAUUUAAACAUGUUUGCCAAGCCCAGGUCAUGAGUAUAUUCUUGUGUGACUUUCUGGAAGCUGUGUCAUUUUGCUUUUCAUAUUAAGACCAAUAAUCCAUGAGACACCAGUGUACACCACAGAAAUGUCUACAAUUAAAGACCCACAACACCCAGUGUCGGUGAAACGGGACAGCUCACACGCUGACAAUACGUCCCUAAAACCUGCACACACGCACCGACAGCAGGUUCACCGCUACACGUAAUCCUGAGACAAACAUGCACGAAAGGGCCCGAACAAGAGUGUGAAUGGCAGCGCUGUCUGUGUCAGCCCACAUGUCCACCAACAGUGACAGGUACCCACAGUGGGGUUCUUUGAUACUGUUAUUUACACAGGAAUGGAAAAACUGCUACACACGACGAUGUGAAUGAGUCUCAGACACAAUUAGGGUGUGUACUGUAAACCUGCAUUUCUGCCACGCUCAGAAGUCAGGCAGUCCUAAUCCAGGGCGUGAGCACGAGGGACUCUGGGGCGUCGGUAGUGUUCUGAAAAGUCUCUCUCUCCCUCUCUCUCUAUUUAUACCUAAAAGUUUUAUUUAUAUGACAGAGAGCACAAGCAGGGGGAGCAGCAGGCAGAGGGAGAGGGAGAGGCAGGCUCCCCACUGAGCGAGGAGCUGGAAGGUGGACUCGGUCCCAGGACCCUGGGAUCAUGACCUGAGCUGAAGACAGACACUUCACUGACUGAGCCACCAGAGGCCCUACAUAUAUAUAUAGGGGCCUGAGCAGAGGGAGAGGGAUAAGCAGACUCGUCGCUGAGCGCAGAGCCCAACGUGGGGUUCGAUCCUACCACCCUGAGAUCAUGACCUGGACCAGAGCCGAAAUCAGAUGCUCAAUUGACCGAGCCACCCGGGCGCCCCUAAGAGUCUAUGUUUUGAGACAGGAGCCUGUCUACUUCGUUCACUUUGUGAAGAUGCACUGAGCUACACAUUUGUGAUUUGUACUCUUUUCCGUAUACGUUGUACUUCAAUAAAUACCUUUCAUUAAAACA